CUGAUCGUGGUGAAAUGGAGAUCACAGUAGCCUUCUAAGAUUCUAUUCCGGGUUCGAAUCCUGGCGGUCAGGCCA
rnacentral:tRNA from 1 species